rnacentral:rRNA from 1 species
CAGUCGCCGCGGUAAAACGUAGGGUGCGAGCGUUAAUCGGAAUUACUGGGCGUAAAGCGUGCGCAGGCGGUUUUGUAAGACAGAGGUGAAAUCCCCGGGCUCAACCUGGGAACUGCCUUUGUGACUGCAAGGCUAGAGUACGGCAGAGGGGGAUGGAAUUCCGCGUGUAGCAGUGAAAUGCGUAGAUAUGCGGAGGAACCCCGAUGGCGAAGGCAAUCCCCUGGGCCUGUACUGACGCUCAUGCACGAAAGCGUGGGGAGCAAACAGGAUUAGAUACCCCAGUAGUCCCUGUCUCUUAUAC